ACAGGAAGGAACCUAAGCUAAACUAACUUUAUUUAUACUGGAUAGCUCUAUAUCAGUUCUGAGCUGUUCUCCCUAGAAUUCCUGUAAGAGUUGUGCUCUUACGCCUUGCUAAAUCUGUACUAAACGUGCCCUAUCAAUAAUUAUCAUUGUCCAAAAUAUCAGACAGUUUAAUAUCGGCUGUCACCUGUUAUAUAUGAGUGACAUUGGAGCCUUGUCUUGUUACACAAAAUAAAUACAAAUUUCAUAUGGGUUGGCGUUGUAAGCGCGUUGCCAAUUAGGA